GUUAAUAGAAGUCUAAACCACUUCACAGUCGAAAAUAGAAAUCUGAUCUCUAAAAAACAGAAACAAGAUAUGAUUCAACUAACGUGCCUGUUGUGUUUAGUAGUAUCAGCUAUCAUAUUCUACUACCAGUACAAAUAUUUAGCACCACAGUUACCGUACUUCACGUGGAAUAGUUGAAGCCUUAUCUUUUACUCUAAUUUUAUACUUGGCGAAAUUUUAUUUUCCUCUCAUUGCACCGCUCGUUUCUCCCUUCCUGCAUUAAUUUUCGCAUUCCUUCAAAUUUUUUACGUAAAAAUUAAUUAUCAAGUAUCGGCGGUUGGAGGGGAUGCAGUUAUUUGCAUAACACGAGGCUGUUAAUUGCACUGCUCUCUUUCUUUCUUAACACUGUAAAAAGAACAUGAUAUUGUCAUUGGAUUGAAGUUCACCAAAACAUAAAACAACUGAUAAACCGACCCUAUAACAAAAUGGAUAACCUCGACAUGCAUAUUUAUCUUCAAUAUCCAAAUUUAAUUAAAAAUAUCCAAGAAGGAGUUCCAAAAAAUUUGACAGGCCGAGUAAUGACCGAGGUGGGAUUGCGCAGAGUUGAUGGUCGGGUAUUCCUCCCUUUAAUCAUUUUCAACGGACAUCACGAAGAAACUCAGAAAUAUUACAAAGUAAAAAUCUAUGAUGCAGCAAAGAUGGUGGAAUUGCUGUACGCCCAUCCAUUACACAACCUGAUAUACAUAUGAAAUGCGAUCCCGAAGAGAGAGAAUACCUUCACCGACUGGUUUGGUAUCUAUGAUGACGAUAAAUUCGACGAAUUUGAAUGGAGUGUGUACAGUGGAUUACAAAUAAGUUUUCAUGAACUUAUUGAAUUUCCGCAAAAAAUUACAAUAGAGUCUGAAUAAGCAUAUUUUAAGAAUAUAUUAUUUUAUCUGAUAACGGAGUAAAUAUAAAAAUCAAUUUCCAAAUCCUAAAA